rnacentral:rRNA from 1 species
UACGAAGGGGGGCUAGCGUUGUUCGGAUUUACUGGGCGUAAAGGGCGCGUAGGCGGUGCGGUAAGUCACCUGUGAAACCUCUGGGCUUAACUCAGAGCCUGCAGGCGAAACUGCCGUGCUUGAGUGUGGGAGAGGUGCGUGGAAUUCCCCGGUGUAGCGGUGAAAUGCGUAGAUAUCGGGAGGAACACCUGUGGCGAAAGCGGCGCACUGGACCACAACUGACGCUGAGGCGCGAAAGCUAGGGGAGCAAACAGG